AGAGUCCUGAGAUGUACGUAGGAUGCUAUACGUUUUGAGCCAACAUUUUUAGAAUGGGAGCCUGAAGUUUUGACUUGGCGUGCAAGCCUUCUUGAAAGGAAGUAUUAAAAGUUGAACAGGGCACCCACCUGCGGAGAGCAGGUUCAAAACUAAGCAAUUUAACGGCAUAUUGGGGCUCUA
rnacentral:other from 2 species